rnacentral:lncRNA from 1 species
AGUAGGAGAAUUGCUUUAGGAGAAGCCCAAAGUGGGAUGCUUGCUUUGCUCACAUUGAUUGCGUCUCCCAGUGCCUCCCCGCGCCUCAUCUCUGUCGUCAUCCUUUUUCUACUGCAGGCUCAUCAGAGAACACAAGUAGCUCACAGCACCCUGGAGAGGGAAGGUAGGGCCUCCCUGGCUUCUCCUUGUUCUUGUGCUAAGGACAAUGACUACUUCUUUCAAUGAUCUCAGGACCUCCUUUGUAAAUAUGUGGGCCCUACGCUCUGGCACUGUUUCUGUGUGGGCAAGGAUUACCCCCGCUGACCAUACAACGAUAAAAACUAAAAUAUAGUUAAAAUUAACCUAACAUAAAAGAAAAAAAAAAGACUUCUGUAUAAUAGUAAAAAGCCAUAAAGCCCAGUGUGUAUACAUGGAUUUAUUCCUUGAUUUUUAUAUACUUUAUUCUUCACUUGGAAUUGUCCAUAUUUAAUGUUAUUUUGAUUUUAUUCUUUCCUAUUUCUUUUACAACCUAAUAUUUUCAUAUUGGCCUAAGAAGAAUUAUUGUUGUUAGAGUCUUUCAGAUUCUCAUUCUCUGUGUUUUGUAUUUUUUCGUUGGCUUGUUUUGCUGAGUCAAUGUUACCGAUUUCCACUGUAUCUUUAUACUUUAAAAUUAAGAAAGUCCUACUUUAAGCUAUUACCAUGCAAAACUUUUCCAUAAUAAUGGACACAUUUCUAGUGUGUAUGAGAGCACAGUAAUAUGUAGUAUGUACAAGCUUCCAUAGGAAUGUGCUUCCAAUACAGGGGUUUGCAUUGCUGGGUUGAGAUGGACUUCAAAGUUGUUAAAACCUGGUAACUUAUUAAUAUAUUUCAGUAUAUUAAAUUAUUGUUCUUUUGAUAUUUUGAGAUUCCUCUAAAUAUGGUUUUAAGAAUGGUUUCCUUAUCCUCUCUAACUAGGCACCUAUAUUUUACAAGUGAGAAAACAGACUUAGGUAGACACAUAGGCUUCUUAACUGGUCCAUUCAAGUGACCAUGUUGGCUGCUUGAAUCCAGACCUGUGUAAGUUCCGUGUUCUGUCCACUUGACUAUACUUGGCCAUAAUUAAGCCAUGUAGCUAGCAUGAUAGCUCACAUAAAUCAUGAAUGCAAAACUUUUUUUUCAUUUAAUUUUGAUAGGCAGCAAGGAGAAGAAGGGAAAACUUUUUUUAUUUUUAAUUUAAUUUUGAUAGGCAGCAAGGAGAAGGGAAAUCAACUCUUCCCUAACAAAUUUUCAGGUCAAUGUUAAAGCAUUUAUUUCUAAACUUAGGUCAGUCUUAGCCUAUGUUCUCUUUUCUUUUAUGUUUUCUUCCUCAGUCUACUUUUCUGUACAUUCUGGGUCUGGAGGCAGGAUGAGGAUUGUAGCAUCUUCCACAAAGCCUGGAAGACAAACUCUGUGUUUACCCUGUUUCCAUGGCACCAGGGCUCUCUUGUCAAGGCUAAUAUCUUAGUGGGACACCUUACUGAGUGGUGUGGGUCUGCUUGUGAAGUUUACUCAGCUGGUUUCGCUUUGGCAGUGAGGCUUCUAAGACCUUCCACAAAACCACCACCUUGGCUGCUCUGGGUUUCUUUUGAAACAUCCUCAGGCUUGGCCCAUAAGGUAGGACUGAAUGGUACCAGGAUAUUCUGGUGUCUUCCAGAGAAUCCCAGAAAAACACUAGUGUAUGGACCUAAUGGCCAAGAAUGGUGUUUAAUUCUGAGUUUGGCACUAUGAUGAGGCUAUCACUUCUGUGCAUAUUUGAUCCCUCAGAAGGUAGCCAAGCCUGACCUGUACUUUUCAUGUCAAUUUUCUGUGAGGAAGAAAGAACAGUGGAGGACUUGGACUCUUGGAAGCUCAUCAGAGUGAGCUCAUCAGAGCCUUGAACGUUGUGGGCUAUGUGGACGUCACCCAGUGACAUCAGGAGUAAGGAAUUCCUGUUCAUUAUUCAGGUUUAGUGAUGUCUAUAUGGGAUGUGACUUC